rnacentral:tRNA from 2 species
CGCGGAGAGGAGCAAUUGGUGUGCUCGUCGGACUCAUGUUCCGAAGGUUGCAGGUUCGAGGCCUGCCUCCGCGU